rnacentral:sRNA from 1 species
AGCCUGAAGCGGAAGUGGAGAAAAGAUGGAGGUGUGGGGACAGGAGCUGGGUGUGCUGGGGACUGGCCGCGGACCCCUAACCUGUGUCUCCGGUCUCCCUCCGGGAGCGGCUCAACCCAGCCCAUCGCUCUGGCCCCGUUCUGGCCCUGCAGGGUGGUGGCUGGGACGUUGAAAUGAGCGCGCGAGUGGUAUGUCCUCUCUCCGCGCUCACGCCCCCCUCCCCACCGUGUUUCCCGCCAGGACCAUCAGCACGUGCCCAUCGACAUCCAGACCAGCAAGCUGCUCGAUUGGCUGGUGGACAGAAGGCACUGCAGCCUGAAAUGGCAGAGUCUGGUGCUGACGAUCCGCGAGAAGAUCAAUGCUGCCAUCCAGGACAUGCCAGAGAGCGAAGAGAUCGCCCAGCUGCUGUCUGGGUCCUGUGAGUGCUUAGGGGCUGUCACUGGAGUCCCCUCUUUGCUGAGGUAGUAUGUAUCAGCUGAGCUACUCUCUUGUUAUUUAGCCACCAGGGCUGGCCUUUAGAGAGGGAGCGAUUUUUAUUUGAGGUAUAGAUGCUGGCUUCUUCCACUAUGAAAUGAUUU